rnacentral:tRNA from 2 species
GCCCCCGUAGCUCAGGGGAUAGAGCAUUGGUUUCCGGUACCAAAGGUCGCACGUUCGAAUCGUGUCGGGGGCA